AAGAGCCUGGGAUGUUCGACAACCUAUAAUUUUGAACCUACAGAUACAAAACGGGAGUCUUAUUCAUUGCAAAACUAACGCCGGGCCGCCGUAACUCCCUUCGCGGGCGGGCGGAUGGCGAACGUUUUGUUGCGGACACCCACCUAGCCGCAGGGCUAGGUGUCAAAAUAUAGGACCGGCACCCUGGGUUAUUU
rnacentral:other from 1 species